rnacentral:rRNA from 1 species
CGGGACGGGUGAGUAACGCGUGGAUAACCUGCCUCACACUGGGGGAUAACAGUUAGAAAUGACUGCUAAUACCGCAUAAGCGCACAGUACCGCAUGGUACAGUGUGAAAAACUCCGGUGGUGUGAGAUGGAUCCGCGUCUGAUUAGCCAGUUGGCGGGGUAACGGCCCACCAAAGCGACGAUCAGUAGCCGACCUGGGAGGGUGACCGGCCACAUUGGGACUGAGACACGGCCCAA